CACCCCUGGCAAUGAGCAAAGAGGCACCUUGUUUGUGGUGUUGAUCUUAUAUCAGUCAGGGGCAGAGCAGAUGGCAGAUGGCAGUCCUUUGUUCAUCCUAGCUUGAUGCCUGGCUUGGUGGCCAAAGCUGUUUCAUGCCUAGGGCACAAAA
ensembl:snoRNA Gm24130 predicted gene, 24130